AACCCUCACUUUUCCUUCUCACUACCAUAACUCCUCCGUCCGGUCUCCGAUCGCUGCACCGUUCGCAGCCACGCGUUUAGCGCGUCGAGCUUUACCUUUCUAUUUGAACAAUUUCACUGGUUCAAGUUAGCUUCCGGAACUUGUGGGCUCAAGCUAUUGAGCAUAUGGGUAUGGUGUAGAUUAAGUGGGUAUAUAUGCACUGGAAUUGAAUUGGGAAUACUUGGAGGCUUUUUGGUGGUCAAGGCUUGUUUUGAUUGAGUUUGGAGGGGCUGUGAUUUGUGUUGUGAGGCUGUCUUGGGUGAUACAAAGUGAUCGGUCAAGGUAUGGUUUAAGUUUCGCACGUUUAAUAUUUACGGUGUUGUGAAAACUUAGGUUAGAAGAACCAUAGGAUAAAUUGAAUUGUUUGUUGUAUUUAAUGAUUAGCCUUGUAAUGUAGUUGGAAUAGAUUUGUUGGUGGAUAUAUAUUGGAAUUAUGAGGUGUGGAAGUUAUUAAUGGUAUGCUCUUGUAUUUAUUUAUGAUGGAUUAUGGUUGGUGUUUGUUAAUAAGGAUGUAGAGUUGUGUUGUGGUGGUAUUGCAUAUGCUGUAACUAAUUCUGUGAAGAUCGGAAUUGCGUGGAACCAAGUCCUGGUUAAACCUUGUUAUAUUUGGAACUGAACUGGAGAAUUUGGGAUCUUUUCGUUAAAUAUAUGAUUUAUGGUGAAUUUUCAAAUUGUAAUCGUGGAAUCUGAUUUUUACUGCAUAAUUUUUAGAACAGCAGUAACUUGUUGGCUCUGCUGCGAAUGUUUCAAAAUGAAUUUUGAAAUGAAACUAAUUUUAAAUAAAGCUUUAUUCCUAUUAUUUUAAUGUCGUAAAAUUUCAGAAUGGUUGGACUUGUGGUUUUAAAGAUAUGAAUUUUUAAAAUACAAUGCAUUAUACAAUAAAAGCCAGAUUCUGUUUUCUUAGAUCAGCAA